rnacentral:rRNA from 1 species
AUUGAACGCUGGCGGAAUGCUUUACACAUGCAAGUCGAACGGCAGCACGGACUUCGGUCUGGUGGCGAGUGGCGAACGGGUGAGUAAUGUAUCGGAACGUGCCCAGUCGUGGGGGAUAACGUAGUGAAAAUUACGCUAAUACCGCAUACGACCUAUGGAUGAAAGCGGGGGAUCGCAAGACCGAGCGCGAGUGGAGCGGCCGAUAUCGGAUUAGGUAGUUGGUGGGGUAAAGGCCCACCAAGCCAACGAUCUGUAGCUGGUCUGAGAGGACGACCAGCCACACUGGAACUGAGACACGGUCCAGACUCCUACGGGAGGCAGCAGUGGGGAAUUUUGGACAAUGGGCGAAAGCCUGAUCCAGCCAUUCCGCGUGCAGGAUGAAGGCCCUCGGGUUGUAAACUGCUUUUGUACAGAACGAAAAGGUUUCUACUAAUACUAGGAGCUCAUGGCGGUACUGUAAGAAUAAGCACCGGCUAACUACGUGCCAGCCGCCGCGGUAA